GACGAACGCUGGCGGCGUGCCUAAUACAUGCAAGUAGAACGCUGAAGGAGGAGCUUGCUUCUCUGGAUGAGUUGCGAACGGGUGAGUAACGCGUAGGUAACCUGCCUGGUAGCGGGGGAUAACUAUUGGAAACGAUAGCUAAUACCGCAUAAUAGUAGAUGUUGCAUGACAUUUGCUUAAAAGGUGCAAUUGCAUCACUACCAGAUGGACCUGCGUUGUAUUAGCUAGUUGGUGGGGUAACGGCUCACCAAGGCGACGAUACAUAGCCGACCUGAGAGGGUGAUCGGCCACACUGGGACUGAGACACGGCCCAGACUCCUACGGGAGGCAGCAGUAGGGAAUCUUCGGCAAUGGACGGAAGUCUGACCGAGCAACGCCGCGUGAGUGAAGAAGGUUUUCGGAUCGUAAAGCUCUGUUGUAAGAGAAGAACGAGUGUGAGAGUGGAAAGUUCACACUGUGACGGUAUCUUACCAGAAAGGGACGGCUAACUACGUGCCAGCAGCCGCGGUAAUACGUAGGUCCCGAGCGUUGUCCGGAUUUAUUGGGCGUAAAGCGAGCGCAGGCGGUUAGAUAAGUCUGAAGUUAAAGGCUGUGGCUUAACCCUAGUACGCUUUGGAAACUGUUUAACUUGAGUGCAAGAGGGGAGAGUGGAAUUCCAUGUGUAGCGGUGAAAUGCGUAGAUAUAUGGAGGAACACCGGUGGCGAAAGCGGCUCUCUGGCUUGUAACUGACGCUGAGGCUCGAAAGCGUGGGGAGCAAACAGG
rnacentral:rRNA from 1 species